rnacentral:lncRNA from 1 species
GAACACAUAAAGUUCAAAUUUUGGAUCCACCUCUGCUAACUAGGAUGCUAUUACUGACUCAUAAAAGUAAAUAAAAUCAACAUGACUUCUCUUUUAAGAUAUUAUUUGAGAACCCCAUUACUUUAAAUUGUAGAAUAACAUCAAAACAUCAACCAGAUACUCUGCCACGGAGAACAUAUGAAAUCAAACUAGUUUCACUUGAAGGCUACUGUAUAUUGAACCCAAUUGCUCAAAUUUAUAGAAUCAUAUUAUCAGAAAAGAUGAACUCUUCCUUGCUAAUAAAAAAUGAGGAUGUCAGUAGAUUUAUCAAUCAACUCAAAUUUUAUUUAACGGACCUUUAUAAGGAAGGAAAAGCAUAAAGCAUUUCUUCAGUAAUUCACAGAAGGAGACUUCAAUUUUCUUAUGGGGCGGCUAUAAGAACGGACAUUUUCAUUCGUUUAUCUCUUUCUUGUUUUGCCUCACACACCUGGAACAACAUCAUCGUACGUCUUUUGACAAACUACCGAGCAGAG